rnacentral:rRNA from 1 species
AUUGAACGCUGGCGGAAUGCUUUACACAUGCAAGUCGAGCGGCAGCACGGGGGCAACCCUGGUGGCGAGCGGCGAACGGGUGAGUAAUACAUCGGAACAUGCCCAGUCGUGGGGGAUAACACUUCGCAAGAAGUGCUAAUACCGCAUACGUCCUGAGGGAGAAAGCGGGGGAGCUUCGGACCUCGCGCGAUUGGAGCGGCCGAUGUCAGAUUAGCUAGUUGGUGGGGUAAAGGCCUACCAAGGAAACGAUCUGUAGCUGGUCUGAGAGGAUGUUCAGCCACACUGGGACUGAGACACGGCCCAGACUCCUACGGGAGGCAGCAGUGGGGAAUUUUGGACAAUGGGGGCAACCCUGAUCCAGCCGUUCCGCGUGAGUGAAGAAGGCCUUCGGGUUGUAAAGCUCUUUCGGCAGGAACGAAACGGCGAGCUCUAACAUAGCUUGCUAAUGACGGUACCUGAAGAAGAAGCACCGGCUAACUACGUGCCAGCAGCCGCCGUAAGAC